rnacentral:lncRNA from 1 species
CCGAGAUCCGUGCCACUGACCAGAGACACCAUGGCCACUGCAGGGGCACCUCCGCCAGGCCCUGCCAGAGCCAGGCAGCAGCUCCAGCCCUGCCUGAAACUCUGCUCCUUUAGACAGGAGCAGGAAGCUCACGCCUAGAGAGCAGUGGCCAGUGCCAGCCUGCCAGGUUGUCAUGCAUCUCAUGUCAUCCCACCACCAGACUUCGAGGUGACUAUUAUUGGGUGAGACAACCAGGGAGGUGAUGUGACUGGCCUGAGGUCACAGAGCUCAGCCUUGGGGAUCCGAGGAACCAGUCAUCCUCUCUCUCCAGCCCCUCUCAGGGAAUUUCUGCCAACUCCAUGCCAGGCGCUGCCUCCUCUCUCUCAUUGAAGCAUCACUGUAUCCUUUGUGUAUUUAACAAUUUUCUCAUCUGCAAACUGGAGAUGACGAUACUGGUACCUUCCUCACCAGGCCGCUGCUGAAUGAACAUGACAACCACCAUGCGUUAUUACAUUGCAGAUGCAGCAUCCCAGAGCCUGCCUGGGCCCCAUCCACAGGGCCCUGCCCAGUUUGUCUUCAUUCACUGCACUAGGGAGCUGGUGGGCAAGAAGAGCAGCCUCGGUGCUGUUCCACACAGAGCUGGGCUGGAACCAAGCCGAGUCCCACUUGGCUCUAGCAGGUCACUGGAUUCUCUGAGCCUCGGUAUCUCCAAUGGUGAAAGGAGCAUCGCAGUGCCUACCUGCAGGGCCUGAUGUGGAUUGUCCCAAAAGCGCAUGCCACAUGGUGGGGGCUCAAGAAAGCUGUCCCCCUCCCCACCUUCUUCUGGACCACGAAAUCCUGUGGUACACCUAGCCCCUCCCUCACCAGGCAGCCCUCUGACAUCGCAAAAAUUCAGGCUGAGCAUCUGAGCAUU